AUUAGCCAUGCAUGUCUCAGUGCAUGCCGAAUUAAGGUGAAACCGCGAAUGGCUCAUUAAAUCAGUUAUGGUUCAUUAGAUUGUACCCACAUUUACUUGGAUAACUGUGGUAAUUCUAGAGCUAAUACAUGCAAAACAGAGUCCCGACCAGUGAUGGAAGGGACGCUUUUAUUAGAUCAAAACCAAUCGGUGGCGGGCGGUCCUCCGUCCGUCCACCGUUUAUUUUGGUGACUCUGAAUAACUUUGUGCUGAUCGCACGGUCCUAGCACCGGCGACGCAUCUUUCAAAUGUCUGCCUUAUCAACUGUCGAUGGUAGGUUCUGCGCCUACCAUGGUUGUAACGGGUAACGGGGAAUCAGGGUUCGAUUCCGGAGAGGGAGCCUGAGAAACGGCUACCACAUCCAAGGAAGGCAGCAGGCGCGCAAAUUACCCACUCCCGGCACGGGGAGGUAGUGACGAAAAAUAACGAUACGGGACUCAUCCGAGGCCCCGUAAUCGGAAUGAGUACACUUUAAAUCCUUUAACGAGGAUCCAUUGGAGGGCAAGUCUGGUGCCAGCAGCCGCGGUAAUUCCAGCUCCAAUAGCGUAUAUUAAAGUUGUUGCGGUUAAAAAGCUCGUAGUUGAAUCUGUGUCGCACACCGUCGGUUCACCGCUCGCGGUGUUUAACUGGCGUGAUGUGGGACGUCCUACCGGUGGGCUUAGCCCCGCGAGGGGCGGCCCAACUAAUAUCCCGUCGCGGUGCUCUUUACUGAGUGUCGAGUCGGGCCGGUACGUUUACUUUGAACAAAUUAGAGUGCUUAAAGCAGGCUAUCCUCGCCUGAAUACUGCGUGCAUGGAAUAAUGGAAUAGGACCUCGGUUCUAUUUUGUUGGUUUUCGGAACCCCGAGGUAAUGAUUAAUAGGGACAGAUGGGGGCAUUCGUAUUGCGACGUUAGAGGUGAAAUUCUUGGAUCGUCGCAAGACGGACAGAAGCGAAAGCAUUUGCCCAAAAAAUGUUUUCAUUAAUCAAGAACGA
rnacentral:rRNA from 1 species